GACGAACGCUGGCGGCGUGCUUAACACAUGCAAGUCGAACGGAAAGGCCCAGCUUGCUGGGUACUCGAGUGGCGAACGGGUGAGUAACACGUGGGUGAUCUGCCCUGCACUCUGGGAUAAGCCUGGGAAACUGGGUCUAAUACCGGAUAUGACCAACUGUCGCAUGGUGGGUGGUGGAAAGCUUUUGCGGUGUGGGAUGGGCCCGCGGCCUAUCAGCUUGUUGGUGGGGUAAUGGCCUACCAAGGCGACGACGGGUAGCCGACCUGAGAGGGUGAUCGGCCACACUGGGACUGAGACACGGCCCAGACUCCUACGGGAGGCAGCAGUGGGGAAUAUUGCACAAUGGGCGCAAGCCUGAUGCAGCGACGCCGCGUGAGGGAUGACGGCCUUCGGGUUGUAAACCUCUUUCACCAGGGACGAAGCGUGAGUGACGGUACCUGGAGAAGAAGCACCGGCCAACUACGUG
rnacentral:rRNA from 1 species